rnacentral:rRNA from 1 species
UACGUAGGGGGCGAGCGUUGUCCGGAUUUAUUGGGCGUAAAGGGCGCGUAGGCGGCCCGCUAAGUCGAACGUGAAAUCCCCGGGCUCAACCCGGGAACUGCGUCCGAUACUGGUGGGCUUGAAUCCGGGAGAGGGAUGCGGAAUUCCAGGUGUAGCGGUGAAAUGCGUAGAUAUCUGGAGGAACACCGGUGGCGAAGGCGGCAUCCUGGACCGGUAUUGACGCUGAGGCGCGAAAGCCAGGGGAGCAAACGGG